rnacentral:rRNA from 1 species
UGGGGAAUAUUGCACAAUGGGCGAAAGCCUGAUGCAGCAACGCCGCGUGAGGGACGACGGCCUUCGGGUUGUAAACCUCUUUUAGUAGGGAAGAAGCGAAAGUGACGGUACCUGCAGAAAAAGCACCGGCUAACUACGUGCCAGCAGCCGCGGUAAUACGUAGGGUGCAAGCGUUAUCCGGAAUUAUUGGGCGUAAAGAGCUCGUAGGCGGUCUGUCGCGUCUGCUGUGAAAACUGGAGGCUCAACCUCCAGCCUGCAGUGGGUACGGGCAGACUAGAGUGCGGUAGGGGAGAUUGGAAUUCCUGGUGUAGCGGUGGAAUGCGCAGAUAUCAGGAGGAACACCGAUGGCGAAGGCAGAUCUCUGGGCCGUAACUGACGCUGAGGAGCGAAAGCGUGGGGAGCGAACAGG